rnacentral:miRNA from 1 species
CCUGUCAGUUCUGUAGGCCACU